UAGGGAAUCUUCGGCAAUGGACGAAAGUCUGACCGAGCAACGCCGCGUGAGUGAAGAAGGUUUUCGGAUCGUAAAACUCUGUUGUUAGAGAAGAACAAGGACGUUAGUAACUGAACGUCCCCUGACGGUAUCUAACCAGAAAGCCACGACUAACUACGUGCCAGCAGCCGCGGUAAUACGUAGGUGGCAAGCGUUGUCCGGAUUUAUUGGGCGUAAAGCGAGCGCAGGCGGUUUCUUAAGUCUGAUGUGAAAGCCCCCGGCUCAACCGGGGAGGGUCAUUGGAAACUGGGAGACUUGAGUGCAGAAGAGGAGAGUGGAAUUCCAUGUGUAGCGGUGAAAUGCGUAGAUAUAUGGAGGAACACCAGUGGCGAAGGCGGCUCUCUGGUCUGUAACUGACGCUGAGGCUCGAAAGCGUGGGGAGCAAACAGG
rnacentral:rRNA from 1 species